CUUCCUGUGGUGAAAAAGCCAUCACACGGCCGUGCGAAGGCCGAGGUCCAGGUGCAAGUCCUGGCAGGAGGACCA
rnacentral:tRNA from 1 species